rnacentral:lncRNA from 1 species
GAAUCUACUUGUAUUUUCCUUUUGGAACCCCAACCUUCCUAUAGUAAGAUUUUCUAACAUUAUGUCCAAUGGUAUUGCAGUAAAAGCAUGCAUUUGUAAUAGGAUUACUGAGAUCAAUAAACUUAUUUUAAUUUAUCCUAUUACUUUAGCCUUAUAGCCAAUACCUUGUCUAUUUAUAGCUCUUCUAGAUGACCUUAACACAAC